rnacentral:tRNA from 1 species
GCCUGGGUGGCUCAGUUGGUUGAGCUUCUGAUUUCGGCUCAGGUCAUGAUCUUGUGGUUUGUGGGUUCGAGCCCCGUGUCGGGCU